rnacentral:rRNA from 1 species
AACGAACGCUGGCGGCAUGCCUAACACAUGCAAGUCGAACGAGACCUUCGGGUCUAGUGGCGCACGGGUGCGUAACGCGUGGGAAUCUGCCCUUGGGUUCGGAAUAACAGUUAGAAAUGACUGCUAAUACCGGAUAAUGUCUUCGGACCAAAGAUUUAUCGCCCAGGGAUGAGCCCGCGUAGGAUUAGCUAGUUGGUGAGGUAAAGGCUCACCAAGGCGACGAUCCUUAGCUGGUCUGAGAGGAUGAUCAGCCACACUGGGACUGAGACACGGCCCAGACUCCUACGGGAGGCAGCA